rnacentral:rRNA from 1 species
UGCCUACGGGGGGCAGCAGUGGGGAAUAUUGCGCAAUGGACGAAAGUCUGACGCAGCGACGCCGCGUGAGGGAUGAAGGUUUUCGGAUCGUAAACCUCUGUCAGGAGGGAAGAAAGCGCAUGGCGCCAAUCAGCCAUGCGUUGACGGUACCUCCAAAGGAAGCGCCGGCUAACUACGUGCCAGCAGCCGCGGUCAUACGUAGGAUCCGAGCAUUAUCCGGAGUGACUGGGUGUAAAGAGUUGCGUAGGUGGCAUAAUAAGUAGCUAGUGAAAUCUGGUGGCUCAACCAUUCAGACUAUUAGCUAA